rnacentral:rRNA from 1 species
GGGCUGUCGCUGUCCUUCACGGGUCGUGCACGCCCAAAGUGUUCUCUCUCACGUCCAUCUCACCCCUUUGUGCAUCACCGCGUGGGCCCCCCUAUUGGGCUUGUUCCGAGGGGGUGUUCACGUUUUUACACAGACACCUUUUUUAAUGCAUGCGUAGAAUGUCUUACUUUUUGCGAUCACACGCAAUCAAUACAACUUUCAACAACGGAUCUCUUGGCUCUCGCAUCGAUGAAGAACGCAGCGAAAUGCGAUACGUAAUGUGAAUUGCAGAAUUCAGUGAAUCAUCGAAUCUUUGAACGCACCUUGCGCCCCUUGGUAUUCCGAGGGGCACACCCGUUUGAGUGUCGUGAACACCCUCAACCUUCUUGGUUUCUUGACCGGGAAGGCUUGGACUUUGGAGGUUUUCCUUUGCUGGCCUCCCUUUGAAGCCAGCUCCUCCUAAAUGAAUUAGUGGGGUCCGCUUUGCCGAUCCUUGACGUGAUAAGUAUGCUUCUACGUCUUGGGUUUCGCACCGUUGACCUGGAACCUGCUUCCAACAGUCUUCGAGAUGAAGACGAUGUUCGAGUUGCGUUGCGACUCUGACCUUCACCGACCUUGACCUCAAAUCGGGUGAGACUACCCGCUGAACUUAAGCAUAUCAAUAAGCGGAGGAAAAGAAACUAACAAGGAUUCCCCUAGUAACUGCG